AGGUUGGGGGAGGGCAACUGCCUGGGAUCUUCUGACAGACGCUAGUGGCUUUUCUGGGUGGAGAGAGUCAAGUGGAAGGAGGGGUCCAAUGUGAGCUGUGGCUAGCGGCUGAACUCACCCUCAGUGCCCAAGGCAGAGACCUGGGAAUUGCAUGGAGCUGCCGUGAGCUGUUUCUCUAGAAGCCCAUCAGUUCACUCAGCAGAUUGCCCCAGUGUCUGCCCCGCCCUGGUGUCUGCAUGACUUUGAGACAAGAAGCACUGAUCAACUCUGGCUUAUGGUGGUAUAGGGGAUUAAACCUGGAACUUUGGAGCCUUAGAGGACCUGGACUUCAAAGCCCCUUCACAUCCACUUUCCCACCGGAAUCUCCUGUGAACCAGGAGAAUCUAGACUGGGCUGUGGGCGCCUAUUUCACAGAUGGGGAAAUCGAGGUGAAGCCAGCAGCUGGGAAGCUAUGAGCCAGGACUGGAACCCCAGGUUCUAUCAGCUCUGCCUGUUCCUCCCCAAGGCCACGGACCACCCUGGGGCCGCCUGGCACAGACUCAGAGGCAGUUCCAUCCGCGGGAAGGUGAAAAUGAAACUGCGUUCCCAGCGCCGGAAAGCAAUCUGCUGUUCAGCAGGAAAAGAUCAAGGGUUAAUGACAUGGAGUUGGGCAAAGGCUGCUGCUGUGCCUCUGAACAUUAUCAGGAGGCGGGAACAAAGAACGGUUGUUAAAUGGGUUUGUUACAGAAGUUAUUUCCUAAUGUAAUUCAUGACACACUUGCCAGAACAUUAGGCAUAUCCUUCGAAAGCACAAGGAGACUGGGGAGGGGGGGUAAGUGAGAUCUGAAAGUCAAUUAUGGAAUGCUUAGUAAGAGUUAAUACCACUAAUAUGCAAGGAGUUCUUGCAAAAUAAUAGAAAAAGAUAAACAUCAUGUUAGAACAUAGACUAUUGACUAAUGAAGGCAAAUAUGCAGACAAGAUCCACCUUGCCAGUAAUCCAGGAAAUGCAAAUAAAAACUACAAUCAUAUAUCAUUUCUCACCUAUCAGAUUGGCACAGAAUGGCAGUGCACUCCAUGAUGUUCAAUAGGCAGAAAUGUGAUUUGACUUAUUGAUUUGCCACCAAGGUUAUCAAUAGGGCUCACUGACUGCACAAUGAAUUCACCACUCCUGGUGGCCACUACUGUUUUUUUUUCUAUAGAUAUAAAAAUUGGGAAGAGAAAGAGGGAGAAAGAAAGAGACACCUGCAGCACUGCUUCACCCCCUAUGAAGCUUCCCACAGGCAGUGGGAAUAGGGGGCUGGAACUCAGGUUCUUGCACAUGGUAAUUUGCACAGUUUACAAGAUAUGCCACUGCCCAGCCUCUAUAGGCAGAAAUUUUAAAACAAUCCAGAAAUUUAACUUUUGGGUGCUUUUCUUAGCAAUAGAAUAGUUUAGACAUUUGCUACGAACAAGGGUGCUUACUGCAUCAUUAUUUAUAGUGGGGAGGAAACCCAAAAUGCCAAACUAUAAAGGAUUUAACAAGUAAACGAUUGUAAAAUUAUGAAAUAAAAUAGUGUGUUGAAA